AGCGUAGGCGGUGAAGUAAGUUAGAUGUGAAAGCCCGGGGCUCAACCUCGGGACUGCAUUUAAAACUGCUUUGCUAGAGUGCAGGAGAGGAAAGCGGAAUUCCUAGUGUAGCGGUGAAAUGCGUAGAUAUUAGGAGGAACACCAGUGGCGAAGGCGGCUUUCUGGACUGUAACUGAUGCUGAGGCUCGAAAGCGUGGGGAGCGAACA
rnacentral:rRNA from 1 species